rnacentral:lncRNA from 1 species
UGACCAAAUGCUGUGACUUCUGAAUCUGGAAGGCCAUGCAGCACAAGGCCAGGAGAAGCGUGGAUAGGGCACAGGUUUUGUCCUUUGCUCCCAGCCAUGGCCCCGACGCACAGAGAAGUGGACGCUGCGGUAGCUUCACCUUGACUUUUUUAUUUGCGUUUUUAAAAAACAAUUAAAUUAGAAUACAAAUAUUAGAAAACAGCGGCCCUCGGCUGCCAGUGCAGACGGAGGGAGGGCUGAACUGCACAACCGAGUUUAUACAGUAAAACUGAAUUUGCCCUCGACCAGAUUCAUGUCCCUUUCUUCUUUAGACCUGAAAUGAUAUUGCUUCCUGACUAGGAGAGUUCUGUUUAUACAAAGAAAAAAUAUUCCGGGUCUUGGGGGUGAGGGCUGUGGCGGGGAAGAAAAGAAAAAGCAGAAAGAAUGGCGGGCACAGGAGAUCUGGAGAACCAGGUGUGGCCUCCGGGGGACAAGGGUGCUGGGCGGGGGGCCGGGCACCCAGCUGCGGGUCCCUGGAGGCGUCUGGGGCCGCUCUGGGCCCCCGUGGUCGCUGGAUUGCCCCACCCCACCCCCCACCGGCCAGGAGCCACCUGGGUCUGGGCAGGGAGCUGAGGCCCAGUCCUGUUGGAAGACAAGAGUGAGGCUCCCAGGGGAGCGGGUGCCAGGCAGGCCUCGUACCCGUCGGAAAACCCAAGAGCAAGGAGAGGGGGAAGGAACCGCCCAGAAUGGAGAGGCCAGGGCAGGUCCUUGCCGACCCCUCGGAAGUGGCCACGCCCCCCUGCCCCGCUGAGGAGGGGGCUGGCGACGGCGGCGUCGGCGUCCGUGGACACCUGCGCUGUUCCGUAGGGAAGUUAACCUGAAUUGGAGUUACCGAGGUAGCUGGCUAGAAAACUGAGACCCCCCCCCACGCCACACGGUGCCGCGCUCUGGGGCCCCCGCCUUCCGCCGGGGGUCCUGGCCACACGCCGGGUCUUCAAAAUACCAAGUUAUUGCACUUUCAAAAAAUACAACACAUCUGUGGCUAAACCCUCCCUGGCCCCCCCCGCCCCGCCCCCCACUGCCCGGCCCCGCCCCCCCCUCCAUGGCUUCUUGGC